rnacentral:lncRNA from 1 species
CAAGGUUAUAUUGCCAAAAGAAAGCUUCAUGACACCAUUCUUACAAUUGAUCAAUGCAUUAGAAGUUGCAAGGAAUGGAUGUCCUAAGAUGACCGAAAUCUGAGAUGGUGAAUUGGAAGCCGGAUGUGUGUCCAGUACGAUAAAGUCGACAGAAAAAUAGAACUUGUCUACUUGGACCAACACAUCUUCGAUAAUUCCUCUAGGAACCUUUACUGACCUGUCAGCUAAUUGUAAGGUGAUAGUUGUUGGCUUCAACUCACCCAAACCGAGUUGCUCAUAUACCGUAUAUGGCAACAAGUUCACACUCGCUCCUAAAUCUAGCAAUGCUCGCUCAA